ACCGUGAACGAGAACGCAACGUCCCGACGGAAAAUUCGUUUAGAUAAAAUAAAAAUCGUGUAUUCGUGUGUGUGUGCGUAUGUAUGUAGAAAAACGACAAAUAUAAUAGCAACAACAAUAGUAUUAUUGUUGUUGUUUUGUCUGCUGCGUGCGUGCGUUCGUUUGGUUGUUUAUAUGUAUGCGUGUCUGUACUAACGGCAGUUUAUACAAACAACAAAAAAUUUUAAAAUA